GGCGAACGGGUGAGUAACACGUGGGUAAUCUACCUAUGAGACGGGGAUAGCCCCGGGAAACUGGGGUUAAUACCGGAUGUGAUCCUUGGGGCGCAUGUUCCGAGGAGGAAAGGGUGCAAACCGCUCAUAGAUGAGCCCGCGGCCCAUUAGCUAGUUGGCAGGGUAAGAGCCUACCAAGGCGACGAUGGGUAGCCGGUCUGAGAGGAUGGCCGGCCACACUGGGACUGAGACACGGCCCANACUCCUACGGGAGGCAGCAGCAAGGAAUUUUGGGCAAUGGGGGAAACCCUGACCCAGCGACGCCGCGUGAGCGAAGAAGGCCUUCGGGUCGUAAAGCUCUGUCUUUGGGGACGAAUGGGACGGUACCCAAAGAGGAAGCCCCGGCUAACUACGUGCCAGCAGCCGCGGUAAUACGUAGGGGGCGAGCGUUGUCCGGAAUUAUUGGGCGUAAAGGGCGAGUAGGCGGCUUUGCAGGUCGGGUGUGAAAAACUGAGGCUCAACCUCGGGAAUGCAUCC
rnacentral:rRNA from 1 species